rnacentral:rRNA from 1 species
AUUGAACGCUGGCGGCAGGCCUAACACAUGCAAGUCGAGCGGAUGAAGGGAGCUUGCUCCUGGAUUCAGCGGCGGACGGGUGAGUAAUGCCUAGGAAUCUGCCUGGUAGUGGGGGAUAACGUCCGGAAACGGGCGCUAAUACCGCAUACGUCCUGAGGGAGAAAGAGGGGGAUCUUCGGACCUCACGCUAUCAGAUGAGCCUAGGUCGGAUUAGCUAGUUGGUGGGGUAAAGGCCUACCAAGGCGACGAUCCGUAACUGGUCUGAGAGGAUGAUCAGUCACACUGGAACUGAGACACGGUCCAGACUCCUACGGGAGGCAGCAGUGGGGAAUAUUGGACAAUGGGCGGAAGCCUGAUCCAGCCAUGCCGCGUGUGUGAAGAAGGUCUUCGGAUUGUAAAGCACUUUAAGUUGGGAGGAAGGGCAGUAAGUUAAUACCUUGCUGUUUUGACGUUACCAACAGAAUAAGCACCGGCUAACUUCGUG